GUGAACUUAACCAGUGUGCUACCGGGCCAGCCCCUUCUUUCCUUGUUUCAGCUAGGAAGACUUAUGCCCAGCUGAGAAGAUACUGAUCUCCCCUUUAGGGCAAUCUUGAUUUUCCCAGGAUGGAGGGGGAGUUUCUGGGAUGCAGAACUUUCAGUGCUAAAACCACGAAAGUCCCGGGCAAACCAGAUGAGUUGGUCACCCUCGCGCCAGCCCAGAUUUGGAGGAGGAAGGUGGAUUUCAAAAGACAUAGAUUAAAAGAAGCAGCGUUUCAAUUCUUCCAGAUGACAGACUCCCUGAGGGCAGGGCGCGUUGCUCUUGUGGCUCAGCAUUAUAUUCCGAGCGGUUAGCAGAGCGCCUGAUUAGCCCUGAGCUAACUACUGCCAAUCCUCCUCUCUUUGCUGAGGAAGACUGGCCCGGAGCUAACAUCCGUGCCCAUCUUCCUCUACUUUAUACGUGGGACGCCUACCACAGCAUGGCUUUUCCCAAGC
rnacentral:lncRNA from 1 species